CAGAGGUCCCGAGCGUUGUUCGGAUUCACUGGGCGUAAAGGGUGCGUAGGUGGUGAGGUAAGUCGGAUGUGAAAUCUCCGGGCUCAACCCGGAAAUGGCAUUGGAAACUACCUUGCUGGAGGAUUUGAGGGGGGAUUGGAAUACUUGGUGUAGCAGUGAAAUGCGUAGAUAUCAAGUGGAACACCAGUGGCGAAGGCGAAUCCCUGGAAAAUACCUGACACUGAGGCACGAAAGCUAGGGGAGCAAACAGGAUUAGAUACCCUGGUAGUCCUAGCCCUAAACGGUGCUUGCUUGCUGUAAGAGGAAUCGACCCUCUUGUGGCGGAGCUAACGCGUUAAGCAAGCCGCCUGGGAAGUACGGUCGCAAGAUUA
rnacentral:rRNA from 1 species